CGAUGUAACACAUGCAUGCAUCAUAUUGUGUGAGAGUUAAAAAAUAUGUAGACGAGGUGGGAGAGAUCACAUCUGGUCCCCUCUUCGUAUUGUGCUUAUACCCCUCUCUUUUUCUCUUUAGUUGUGUUGCUCCCCCUCCGGUAAGUACAACGAGCACCCGGCAUCCGCAGCCGAGCCCCUCUUGUGCUACCGAUUUUCCCCUUCCCCCUUUUCCGAGGAGAAACAACAAACCAUUGCGGUGUUCUCCUCGUCAGUCGGUGUUCGAGAGUACUGCCACGCGUAUUACGUGCGUAUAUUUACGACCUACGAAGAAAAUUAAAAGAAGAAUCGAAGUAUAAACGCAUUUGAUAUUAGCGCAUAGACACACAACACACGCGCGCGCGUACGCAUACAUAGACAACCAUCUUCCAGAUCUUUUUUCUACGCCUAUGUAUAACAACGUAACUUGUCGGUUGCGUUCAAAAGGAUCUAACACGAUUCUCGAUUGCAUUCUCGAGUGAAGAAAGAAGAAGAAGAAGAAGUGGAAGAAAAAGAGAAAGUGGAAAAUGGGGGAUACGGAAAGAGAAAGAAUUUGAGGUUAUCACUCAUUGCCGGUUUGUACCGAGCAAACGAGCAAGCAAGAAAAAAAGGAAGAAGAAGAAGAAGAAGAGGAGGAGGAGGACGCGUUCAAGCGUGGUGAAGGGCAACGCAUAUAGCACAAGGGUGGGGAGACGAAGAGGACCUAAAGGAUCGUCAUUUGUCGUUCACUUUUCGAGAAGAAAUAGUAUUUACUUAAACUGUGGCCACUUAACAGUGGCUGCUGACGAAGGGUCGGCGUGUAUUCCAGCUUGAAGAGGUUUUCUUAGGACUAAUAUUCUUCGUAGUCUUCUGUUAGAAGAUAAGAAGAAGAAGAAAAUAUAUUUUUCGAUUGAAAAAUUGAAUAAA
rnacentral:lncRNA from 1 species